UACGGGGGGAGCAAGCGUUGUUCGGAUUUACUGGGCGUAAAGGGCGCGUAGGCGGCCAGCACAAGUCAGUUGUGAAAUCUCCGAGCUUAACUCGGAAAGGUCAACUGAUACUGUGCGGCUAGAGUGCGGAAGGGGCAACUGGAAUUCUCGGUGUAGCGGUGAAAUGCGUAGAUAUCGAGAGGAACACCUGCGGCGAAGGCGGGUUGCUGGGCUGACACUGACGCUGAUGUGCGAAAGCUAGGGGAGCGAACGGG
rnacentral:rRNA from 1 species